GAUGAACAGGACAGAUGCAGGGGGUGAGCAUUGCUGGGACGUGCACAAGCGGCCCUGCAGCGGGUUUGUGGAGGUAAUGGCGCCGGUGUUCUCGAGGGAUGCCUGGAGAUGCGUGUGGCACAUGAUCCAGGAUCCUGAAGAGCAAAUCGGCGUCGUAGACAUGCAGUACGUUGUCCAUCGUGCAGUUCCCACGCUCCAAGGCGAGG